UGAUCUUCUUCGGAAUUGACGUUUUGUAGACUGAGUGGCGGACGGGUGAGUAACGCGUGGGUAACCUGCCCUGUACAGGGGGAUAACAGUCAGAAAUGACUGCUAAUACCGCAUAAGACCACAGCACCGCAUGGUGCAGGGGUAAAAACUCCGGUGGUACAGGAUGGACCCGCGUCUGAUUAGCUGGUUGGUGAGGUAACGGCUCACCAAGGCGACGAUCAGUAGCCGGCUUGAGAGAGUGAACGGCCACAUUGGGACUGAGACACGGCCCAAACUCCUACGGGAGGCAGCAGUGGGGAAUAUUGCACAAUGGGGGAAACCCUGAUGCAGCGACGCCGCGUGAGUGAAGAAGUAUCUCGGUAUGUAAAGCUCUAUCAGCAGGGAAGAAAAUGACGGUACCUGACUAAGAAGCCCCGGCUAACUACGUGCCAGCAGCCGCGGUAAUACGUAGGGGGCAAGCGUUAUCCGGAAUUACUGGGUGUAAAGGGUGCGUAGGUGGUAUGGCAAGUCAGAAGUGAAAACCCAGGGCUUAACUCUGGGACUGCUUUUGAAACUGUCAGACUGGAGUGCAGGAGAGGUAAGCGGAAUUCCUAGUGUAGCGGUGAAAUGCGUAGAUAUUAGGAGGAACAUCAGUGGCGAAGGCGGC
rnacentral:rRNA from 1 species